rnacentral:tRNA from 1 species
UCCCUGGUGGUCCAGUGGUUAAGACUCUGUACUUCCAAUGCAGAAGGACCAAGUUUGAUCCCUGGUUGAGGUU